rnacentral:misc_RNA from 1 species
GAUGAAGAACGCAGCGAAAUGCGAUAAGUAAUGUGAAUUGCAGAAUUCAGUGAAUCAUCGAGUCUUUGAACGCACAUUGCGCCCCCUGGUAUUCCGGGGGGCAUGCCUGUCCGAGCGUCAUUGCUGUCCUCAAGCACGGCUUGUGUGUUGGGCCUCCGUCCUCCUCCCGGGGGACGGGCCCGAAAGGCAGCGGCGGCACCGCGUCCGGUCCUCGAGCGUAUGGGGCUUCGUCACCCGCUCUUGUAGGCCCGGCCGGCGCUUGCCGACACAUCAAUCUUUUUUCCAGGUUGACCUCGGAUCAGGUAGGGAUACCCGCUGAACUUAAGCAUAUCAAUAAGCGGAGGA